rnacentral:rRNA from 1 species
UGCAAGUCGAACGAAGUAGCAAUACUUAGUGGCAGACGGGUGAGUAACAUGUCCGGUAUCUGCCCUAUGGCCUGGAAUAACACGAGGAAACUUGUGCUAAUACCGGAUAAGUCUUUACGGAGAAAGCUUUAUGCACCAUUGGAUGAGCCUGCACUUGAUUAGUUUGUUGGUGGGGUAAUGGCCUACCAAGACUGUGAUCAAUAGCUGAUUUGAGAGGAUGAUCAGCCACAUUGGGACUGAGACACGGCCCAAACUCCUACGGGAGGCAGCAGUGGGGAAUCUUGCACAAUGGAGGAAACUCUGAUGCAGCGAUGCCGCGUGAGUGAAGAAGGCCUUUGGGUUGUAAAGCUCUUUCGUCGGGGAAGAAAAUGACUGUACCCGAAUAAGAAGGUCCGGCUAACUUCGUGCCAGCAGCCGCGGUAAUACGAAGGGACCUAGCGUAGUUCGGAAUUACUGGGCUUAAAGAGUUCGUAGGUGGUUGAAAAAGUUGGUGGUGAAAUCCCAGAGCUUAACUCUGGAACUGCCAUCAAAACUUUUCAGCUAGAGUAUGAUAGAGGAAAGCAGAAUUUCUAGUGUAGAGGUGAAAUUCGUAGAUAUUAGAAAGAAUACCAAUUGCGAAGGCAGCUUUCUGGAUCAUUACUGACACUGAGGAACGAAAGCAUGGGUAGCGAAGAGGAUUAGAUACCCUCGUAGUCCAUGCCGUAAACGAUGUGUGUUAGACGUUGGAAAUUUAUUUUCAGUGUCGCAGCGAAAGCGAUAAACACACCGCCUGGGGA